rnacentral:rRNA from 1 species
AUUGAACGCUGGCGGCAUGCCUUACACAUGCAAGUCGAACGGUAACGGGCCUUCGGGUGCCGACGAGUGGCGCACGGGUGAGUAAUACAUCGGAACGUGCCCGAUCGUGGGGGAUAACGAGGCGAAAGCUUUGCUAAUACCGCAUACGAUCUACGGAUGAAAGCAGGGGACCGCAAGGCCUUGCGCGGACGGAGCGGCCGAUGGCAGAUUAGGUAGUUGGUGGGAUAAAAGCUUACCAAGCCGACGAUCUGUAGCUGGUCUGAGAGGAUGAUCAGCCACACUGGGACUGAGACACGGCCCAGACUCCUACGGGAGGCAGCAGUGGGGAAUUUUGGACAAUGGGCGCAAGCCUGAUCCAGCCAUGCCGCGUGCAGGAUGAAGGCCUUCGGGUUGUAAACUGCUUUUGUACGGAAAGAAAAGCCUUCUUUUAAUACAGGAGGGUCAUGACGGUACCGUAAGAAUAAGCACCGGCUAACUACGUG